rfam:Rattus norvegicus chromosome 19, whole genome shotgun sequence.
GGGGAUUUAGCUCAGUGGUAGAGCACUUACCUAAGAAGUGCAAGGCCCUGGGUUCGAUCCCCAGCUCCG